GAGACCGUUGUUCUUAGAUGUCGAGUCUGUGGCCGCCCCAAAGCCUCAAUUACCUGGAAGGGCCCUGAACACAACACCUUGAACAACGAUGGUCACUACAGCAUCUCCUACAGUGACCUGGGAGAGGCCACUCUGAAGAUUGUGGGCGUGACCACGGAAGAUGACGGCAUCUACACGUGCAUCGCUGUCAAUGACAUGGGUUCAGCCUCAUCGUCGGCCAGCCUGAGGGUCCUAGGUAAGCACUGUGCAACGAGGAUUCUACGUUACCCAGUGGGGCACGUCUUUCAGGAGUCUCCUGAAGUCCUGAGUCUGCCCUCACACUCCAUGUGGCCUGAAAGAUAGAACAAUAAGUCAUUUGUGGGGCUUCAAAAGACAGUUGCAAGUAGCAGACCAGAGUGUCUGGGAUGUCACAGGAGAGUGACCUCUCGGCACCUUAUGUAAGGUCGGGGGAGACACCGGAGCUCCUGUUGCUGGGAGGAGGAUGGGGGCCUGCCUGAUGAAGGCCUCUGGCUGCCCACCAUGGGGCACCAGGGCCCCCCACGACCAGCCUCUGAGUUGGAGCAGGGUGCUUUCUGUGCUCCUAGUACUCAAAACACUCAUAUCCAGCUACCCAGCUGAAUCUGAGUUUAGGUUGGUCUCACGUAGAAUGUGCGUGGGAAAAACAGGAAAGGAGAUGUGGGUGAGUCCCAGGCCUGCGCAGGCACUGUGCCUGUCUGAGACCCUAACAGCAACUCUUCUGGGAGAAUGCGCGCCCUCCUCACCCCAUCCAGG
rnacentral:sRNA from 1 species